rnacentral:rRNA from 1 species
GUGGGGAAUCUUGCGCAAUGGGCGAAAGCCUGACGCAGCCAUGCCGCGUGAAUGAUGAAGGUCUUAGGAUUGUAAAAUUCUUUCACCGGGGACGAUAAUGACGGUACCCGGAGAAGAAGCUCCGGCUAACUUCGUGCCAGCAGCCGCGGUAAUACGAAGGGGGCUAGCGUUGCUCGGAAUUACUGGGCGUACAGGGCGCGUAGGCGGACAGCUUAGUCAGAGGUGAAAGCCCAGGGCUCAACCUUGGAAUUGCCUUUGAUACUGUCUGUCUUGAGUUUGGGAGAGGUGAGUGGAACUCCUAGUGUAGAGGUGAAAUUCGUAGAUGUUCGGAAGAACACCAGUGGCGAAGGCGACUCACUGGCCCAAUACUGACACUGAGGCACGAAAGCGUGGGGAGCAAACAGGAUUAGAACCCUAGUAGUCC